rnacentral:misc_RNA from 1 species
GCAAACUUGGUCAUUUAGAGGAAGUAAAAGUCGUAACAAGGUUUCCGUAGGUGAACCUGCGGAAGGAUCAUUAAAAAAAGUUGGCAAUCUACCACUACACAACACACCUUGUGAACUUUUGUAGGCUGAGCAAUCGGUCUAUGUUUUUUUUCUUCUUCAUUAUAUUAACGCGCAUUGUGUUUAUGUUUUGGAAUCAAUGAAUUGUUAUGGUGAUACAACUUUCAACAACGGAUCUCUUGGCUCUCGCAUCGAUGAAGAACGCAGC